UACGUAGGGAGCAAGCGUUGUCCGGAAUUAUUGGGCGUAAAGAGCGUGUAGGCGGCCCGAUUAGUCCGCUGUGAAAGUCCAGGGCUCAACCCUGGAAUGCCGGUGGAUACUGUCGGGCUAGAGUCCGGAAGGGGCGAGUGGAAUUCCUGGUGUAGCGGUGAAAUGCGCAGAUAUCAGGAGGAACACCGGUGGCGAAGGCGGGUCUCUGGGCCAUAACUGACGCUGAGGAGCGAAAGCGUGGGGAGCGAACAGG
rnacentral:rRNA from 1 species